CUCGAAAGGGGUGACGGCGUACCUUUUGUAUAAUGGGUCAGCGACUUACGUUCAGUAGCAAGCUUAACCGAAUAGGGCAGGCGUAGCGAAAGCGAGUCCGAAUAGGGCGUUCAGUUGCUGGGCGUAGACCCGAAACCAGGUGAUCUAUCCAUGGCCAGGAUGAAGGUGCGGUAACACGUACUGGAGGUCCGAACCCACUAACGUUGAAAAGUUAGGGGAUGAGCUGUGGAUAGGGGUGAAAGGCUAAACAAACCUGGAAAUAGCUGGUUCUCUCCGAAAACUAUUUAGGUAGUGCCUCGUGUCUCACCUUCGGGGGUAGAGCACUGUCAUGGUUGGGGGGUCUAUUGCAGAUUACCCCGCCAUAGCAAACUCCGAAUACCGAAGAGUGCAAUCACGGGAGACAGACAUCGGGUGCUAACGUCCGGUGUCAAGAGGGAAACAACCCAGACCGCCAGCUAAGGUCCCCAAAUAUGGCUAAGUGGGAAACGAAGUGGGAAGGCUAAAACAGUCAGGAGGUUGGCUUAGAAGCAGCCACCCUUUAAAGAAAGCGUAAUAGCUCACUGAUCGAGUCGUCCUGCGCGGAAGAUGUAACGGGGCUAAGCCAUAUACCGAAGCUGCGGAUGCGUGCUUGCACGCAUGGUAGGAGAGCGUUCCGUAAGCCUGCGAAGGUGCCUUGUAAAGGGUGCUGGAGGUAUCGGAAGUGCGAAUGCUGACAUGAGUAGCGAUAAAGGGGGUGAAAGGCCCCCUCGCCGUAAGCCCAAGGUUUCCUACGCAACGUUCAUCGGCGUAGGGUGAGUCGGCCCCUAAGGCGAGGCAGAAAUGCGUAGCUGAUGGGAAGCAGGUCAAUAUUCCUGCACCAUUGUUAGAUGCGAUGGGGGGACGGAUCGCGGAAGGUUGUCCGGGUGUUGGAAGUCCCGGUCGCUGCAUUGGAGA
rnacentral:rRNA from 1 species